CUACUCCUUUUACGGGGCAGCAGUAGGGAAUCUUCCGCAAUGGGCGAAAGCCUGACGGAGCAAUGCCGCGUGAGUGAUGAAGGUUUUCGGAUCGUAAAGCUCUGUUGCCAGGGAAGAACGCUUGGGAGAGUAACUGCUCUCAAGGUGACGGUACCUGAGAAGAAAGCCCCGGCUAACUACGUGCCAGCAGCCGCGGUAAUACGUAGGGGGCAAGCGUUGUCCGGAAUUAUUGGGCGUAAAGCGCGCGCAGGCGGUCAUUUAAGUCUGGUGUUUAAUCCCGGGGCUCAACCCCGGAUCGCACUGGAAACUGGGUGACUUGAGUGCAGAAGAGGAGAGUGGAAUUCCACGUGUAGCGGUGAAAUGCGUAGAUAUGUGGAGGAACACCAGUGGCGAAGGCGACUCUCUGGGCUGUAACUGACGCUGAGCGCUCGCUACCCC
rnacentral:rRNA from 1 species